rnacentral:rRNA from 1 species
CCUACGGGUGGCUGCAGUGGGGAAUAUUGGACAAUGGGCGAAAGCCUGAUCCAGCCAUGCCGCGUGUGUGAAGAAGGCCUUCGGGUUGUAAAGCACUUUCAGUGGGGAAGAAAGCCCUGGGGCUAAUACCCUCGAGGAAGGACAUCACCCACAGAAGAAGCACCGGCUAACUCCGUGCCAGCAGCCGCGGUAAUACGGAGGGUGCGAGCGUUAAUCGGAAUUACUGGGCGUAAAGCGCGCGUAGGCGGUCUGAUAAGCCGGUUGUGAAAGCCCCGGGCUCAACCUGGGAACGGCAUCCGGAACUGUCAGGCUAGAGUGCAGGAGAGGAAGGUAGAAUUCCCGGUGUAGCGGUGAAAUGCGUAGAGAUCGGGAGGAAUACCAGUGGCGAAGGCGGCCUUCUGGACUGACACUGACGCUGAGGUGCGAAAGCGUGGGUAGCAAACAGGAUUAGAUACCCCAGUAGUC